ensembl:snoRNA SNORA47 small nucleolar RNA, H/ACA box 47
UGGAGGACUGAGAAGGUGAGGCAGCUCUGUACCAUGCUGCCGUCACUGGUUAAGGCCUCCGAAAGUGAAGGGUCACAAGGGCAGAGAAUGCCCCUCUGCCACCUUCAGAGGGGCAGUUGCCCUGCUGGCCGACACUGU